rnacentral:rRNA from 1 species
GACGAACGCUGGCGGCGUGCUUAACACAUGCAAGUCGAACGGAAAGGCCCUGCUUUUGUGGGGUGCUCGAGUGGCGAACGGGUGAGUAACACGUGAGUAACCUGCCCUUGACUUUGGGAUAACUUCAGGAAACUGGGGCUAAUACCGGAUAGGAGCUCCUGCUGCAUGGUGGGGGUUGGAAAGUUUCGGCGGUUGGUGAUGGACUCGCGGCUUAUCAGCUUGUUGGUGGGGUAGUGGCUUACCAAGGCUUUGACGGGUAGCCGGCCUGAGAGGCUGACCGGCCACAUUGGGCCUGAGAUACGGCCCAGACUCCUACGGGAGGCAACGGUGGAGAAUAUUGCACAGUGGGAGGAAGCCUGAUGCGACAACGCCGCGUGCGGGAUGACGUCCUUCGGGUUGUAAACCGCUUUCGCCUUAGACGAGGCGUGAGUGACGGUAAUGGGUAAAGAAGCACCGGCUAACUACGUG